rnacentral:ncRNA from 2 species
UUUUAUAUGGACGAUAAAGGUUCUUGCUCACUGAUAGAGUAAGGAGUAAAAGGGAAAUCGGUGCAAUUCCGAUGCGGUCCCGCCACUGUAAAUGCUAGUUGAGAGCAGUAUGCCACUGAAAAACUUUCGGGAAGGCGCUUAUCAACGUUAUGCAUAAGCCAGGAGACCUGCCUUUAUAAUGCCCUAAAA